rnacentral:rRNA from 1 species
CUGCAGCCCGAGUGGGAACCAGCUUUAUUUGGUCUAAAGCGUCCGUAGCCGGACUUGUGAAUUCUCUGUGAAAUCGGUCAGCUUAACUGAUCGGCGUGCAGGGAACACUGCAAGUCUUGGGACUGGGAGAGGUCAGAAGUAUGUCAGGGGUAGCGGUAAAAUGUUAUAAUCCCUGAUGGACUACCUAUGGCGAAGGCAUCUGACCAGAACAGAUCCGACGGUGAGGGAUGAAAGCUGGGGGAGCAAACCGGAUUAGAUACCCGAGUAGUCC